rnacentral:rRNA from 1 species
GAUGAACGCUGGCGGCGUGCUUAACACAUGCAAGUCGAACGGAAAGGCUCCUGCUUGCAGGGGUACUCGAGUGGCGAACGGGUGAGUAACACGUGGGUGAUCUGCCCUGCACUUCGGGAUAAGCCUGGGAAACUGGGUCUAAUACCGGAUAGGACCACAUUUUGGAUGGUGUGGUGGAAAGUUUUUCGGUGUGGGAUGAGCUCGCGGCCUAUCAGCUUGUUGGUGGGGUAAUGGCCUACCAAGGCGUCGACGGGUAGCCGGCCUGAGAGGGUGUACGGCCACAUUGGGACUGAGAUACGGCCCAGACUCCUACGGGAGGCAGCAGUGGGGAAUAUUGCACAAUGGGCGCAAGCCUGAUGCAGCGACGCCGCGUGGGGGAUGACGGCCUUCGGGUUGUAACUCCUUUCGCUAGGGACGAAGCGCAAGUGACGGUACCUGGAGAAGAAGCACCGGCUAACUACGUGCC